GGGGCUGUAGCUCAGGGGUAGAGCAUCUGCCUUUUAAGCAGAGGGUCGCUGGUUCGAGCCCAGCCAGCCUCA
rnacentral:tRNA from 1 species